UACGAAGGGGGCUAGCGUUGUUCGGAAUCACUGGGCGUAAAGAGCACGUAGGCGGACUUGUUAGUCAGGGGUGAAAUCCCGGGGCUCAACCCCGGAACUGCCCUUGAAACUGCAAGUCUUGAGUCCGAGAGAGGUGAGUGGAAUUCCUAGUGUAGAGGUGAAAUUCGUAGAUAUUAGGAAGAACACCAGUGGCGAAGGCGGCUCACUGGCCCGGUACUGACGCUGAGGCGCGAAAGCGUGGGGAGCAAACAGG
rnacentral:rRNA from 1 species